rnacentral:rRNA from 1 species
GAUGAACGCUGGCGGCGUGCCUAAUACAUGCGAGUCGAGCGAACAGACGAGAAGCUUGCUCCUCUGACGUUAGCGGCGGACGGGUGAGUAACACGUGGAUAACCUACCUAUAAGACUGGGAUAACUUCGGGAAACCGGAGCUAAUACCGGAUAAUAUAUUGAACCGCAUGGUUCAAUAGUGAAAGACGGUUUUGCUGUCACUUAUAGAUGGAUCCGCGCCGCAUUAGCUAGUUGGUAAGGUAACGGCUUACCAAGGCAACGAUGCGUAGCCGACCUGAGAGGGUGAUCGGCCACACUGGAACUGAGACACGGUCCAGACUCCUACGGGAGGCAGCAGUAGGGAAUCUUCCGCAAUGGGCGAAAGCCUGACGGAGCAACGCCGCGUGAGUGAUGAAGGUCCUCGGAUCGUAAAACUCUGUUAUUAGGGAAGAACAAAUGUGUAAGUAACUAUGCACGUCUUGACGGUACCUAAUCAGAAAGCCACGGCUAACUACGUG